GUCGAACGGAGAUAUUUGAAUUAAUCCUUCGGGAAGCGUUUAAAUAACUUAGUGGCGGACGGGUGAGUAACGCGUGAGCAACCUGCCUUGAAGAGGGGGAUAACACAGGGAAACUUGUGCUAAUACCGCAUAACGUACGUGAAUCGCAUGGUUCGUGUACCAAAGCUCCGACGCUUCAAGAUGGGCUCGCGUCUGAUUAGAUAGUUGGCAGGGUAACGGCCUACCAAGUCGACGAUCAGUAGCCGGACUGAGAGGUUGAACGGCCACAUUGGAACUGAGAUACGGUCCAGACUCCUACGGGAGGCAGCAGUGGGGAAUAUUGGGCAAUGGGCGCAAGCCUGACCCAGCGACGCCGCGUGAGGGAAGAAGGUCUUCGGAUUGUAAACCUUAGUCAACAGGGACGAAGCAUGACGGUACCUGUGGAGGAAGCCACGGCUAACUACGUGCCAGCAGCCGCGGUAAUACGUAGGUGGCAAGCGUUAUCCGGAUUUACUGGGCGUAAAGGGUGUGUAGGCGGGACGGUAAGUCAGAUGUGAAAACUAUGGGCUUAACUCAUAGCCUGCAUUUGAAACUGCUGUUCUUGAGAGUCGGAGAGGUAA
rnacentral:rRNA from 1 species